rnacentral:lncRNA from 10 species
CCAGGCUCUGUUGCAUCUUGUUAUGUUAAUAUGACACAGUUCUGGCUAAUAACAUGGAGAUGUAAGUCCCUGAGAGAAGGCUUCCUUUCAGAAAUUUGUCUUCAGAAAUAAAAAAGGCAGACCCCUGUGAAGGGCAAAGAAGAAAACUUUUGCUCUCAGAGACUAGAAGCAUGACAGAAAGCUACCCUUAGGUGAUUUGGACUGGUUUGAAGUGCAUGAAACAACAAACAGGAUGCCUAAACAUCCUUUAUUACAAACAGCUAUGAGAAUUUUGAGGCCAAGGAUAUGAUUGCAACAUCCUGCAGGUUCCAGGAUGCCUGAAAACAUGUAUAUGUGACAAGUUCCCAGAUGACACAGCAAGAAGGCUUUUUCUGGACAGUGACCCCUCAAUCUUGG